GUGCCAAUUUCUCACUUGUGCCUUUGGGUGUCGAGUGUUCAGCUGUGGACAGACAUACAGAUCUGGAAGUCAUCAGCAGAGGGUAAUAUGAGACAGGAGAGUAGACAAUAUUUUGGAGUGCAUAAGUAGAAAGCCGAGAGAAGAAGACUGAGGCUAGAACCCUGAGGAAUAUCCAACGUUUGCCCUUGAAGGAGACUGAGAAGUAGCCAGAAGUUGGAGGAAGAUCGGAAGGAUGAUGUGUCUUCAAAGAAGGAAAAUGAGUGUUUCAAGGAGUUAGCUGUCCCCUGUGUCAAGUAAAAAGAGACUGAAAAAUGUUCAUCAAAUUUAACAACUGCUGGUUUGAUCUAUUCAAGAAUGUUGUGGCAUAUAUAAGGCAGGUGUUUUGUUUUUUGUUUUUUUGUUUUUUUUCCUGUGAGCACACCUUUAUUUAUUUUCAAGUUAGAGUCCUCAGAAUAACCUUGGUGGAAACUCAUAAUUGUCAAAACGUGAGAUCACAGCUCAAAAAAUCAAUUUAAAACUUCAAAUUUGAAUUGAUUUUUUGCCUAGUAAGGGAGGGGUCUUGUCCAGCAAAGCAAACCAUUGACCCUACAGGGAUUUUUGAAGAAGUUUGUUGUGUUAGUGAGAGAAGUGGGAGUGGAAUUAUCUCAGCCUUAUUUUGGAUGUUGUAGUUUUCAUACCUAGAUGUUCCAUUGGCUCUUUCUCGUGUCUUCUCUCUGUUCACGUUUUCCUUUAACUUCCUGG
rnacentral:lncRNA from 10 species